rnacentral:piRNA from 1 species
UGCCAGGAAAGAAGAUGGGCAACCUCAGC